GUUUCACCUGUGUGUUUUAGUCAUAUGACUAAUUUAGUAUAUUAGCCCGGGGUUUAGCUUAGGAUCCUUGUGAGAAUGCCUCGCCUGCCAUGCAGAUGGCGGAUUCGGAAGCUUUCCAGAAAGUGUUAUCAGAGCAAGGGCAGCUAUUGGGCAGACACCAGCAUGUGUUAUCCAGAGUAACACAUUCUCUGGAAACCCUAGCACAACAACAAGUGGAACAGCAGGCUCAGUUAGCCCAACUGGUGGCUAACGUGAAGGGACAGACUGGGCAGCUUCAAGCUAUGAGCUUCACGAAGACCACGACCACCACCGGAUUCCAAACUGCUGCUGAGGACAACACUCAAAACAUUUUUCCGCCCUGAUCGACUCCGGAGCCAAAGGGAACUUCAUCAGCGCCCACCUGGUGGAACAACCACAGGUCCCAGUACAGAAGUUCCCGACGGUAUUGAAAGUAGCAGCACUAGAUGGAGGACCAGUGAGGAUGGGCACCUUUUCCGGAGUCACAAAACCCAUAGAAUUGCAGACGGGUGCCCUUCACAAAGAAAAGAUUUCCCUGUUAGUAUUGGAACAGUCAGAGUUUGAACUGAUCUUGGGCCUUCCUUGGUUAGAGAAACAUAAUCCUACUAUCUCAUGGACUGAUCAUACUAUAACUAAGUGGUCAGAUUAUUGUUUCCAGUCCUGUCUUCACACUCCUGUUUCCAUUUCCUCCACAUCUAUUGAAAGUCCCAAUGCUGACGCCUCCUUUGUUAUUCCUCCCGAGUACUUGGUCUUGAAAGAAGUGUUUAAUAAACAAAAGGCCACAGAACUGCCCCCACACUGAGACUAUGAUUGUUCCAUUGAACUAGUUGAAGACCCAGUUUUCCCCAAAGCUCAUGUCUAUCCCUUAACCCAAGAGGAACAGGAAGCCCUAGAUAUUUACAUUAAAGAGGCCCUACAGCAAGGGUUCAUUCGACCCUCCACUUCACUGAUAGCUUCCAGUUUUUCUUUAUUAAAAAGAAGGAUGGCGGUCUACGCCCUUGCAUAGACUACAGAGCCCUAAACCAAAUCUCAAAACCAUACCCUUAUCCACUUCCGUUAGUCCCCGUAUCAUUAGAGCAAUUGCAAGGCGCUAAGUACUUCACCAAGCUAGAUCUCCGUAGUGCUUAUAAUCUCAUUCGUAUUAAGAAAGGGGAUGAGUGGAAGACUGCCUUUGUGACCACCAGGGAGCACUAUGAGUAUCAGGUGAUGCCCUUCGGGCUCUCUAUCGACCCCUCAGUAUUCCAAGCAUUCAUAAAUGACGUCCUUAGAGAUAUGCUUGGGCAAUAUGUGAUCACAUAUCUAGACGAUAUCCUAGUAUAUUCUCCCAACCUGGACCUCCGUGUUCAACAUGUCCGAGCGGUACUUCAGCGUUUACUUGAUCACAAUUUGUUCUUAAAAGGAGAAAAAUGUGAGUUUCACCUACAAACCGUAGCAUUCCUAGGUUACAUCAUAAGCCCACAAGGUGUUACCAUGGAUGACCACAAGGUGGAAGCAGUU